rnacentral:misc_RNA from 1 species
ACCUAAUAACAUAGGGCAGCAUCAUGUAAAAGCAACAAAGCAAGUGUUACAAAGAGUUGUAGCCUUAUUCAAAUCUCAAAUUCUACAUGCAUUCCUACUACCUGAAGACAUCAAAAAUACUGCAUCAAUACUAUUGCCUAGAUUAGAUUAUGUUGGAUUUGGACAAAGUGCUUGUUCUGCCCAUUGCCUUCAUUGGCCUUGCAUUAAUAUGUGCCAUAAAUUAAUAGUAAGUAAACAUCAAGUUUUUUAAUAGAUCAUA